UGCCAGCCGCCGCGGUAAUACGGAGGGUGCGAGCGUUAUCCGGAUUCAUUGGGUUUAAAGGGUCCGUAGGUGGGAGAAUAAGUCAGUGGUGAAAUCCUGCAGCUUAACUGUAGAACUGCCAUUGAAACUGUUUUUCUUGAGUAUAGAUGAAGUGGGCGGAAUGUAUCAUGUAGCGGUGAAAUGCAUAGAUAUGAUACAGAACACCGAUUGCGAAGGCAGCUCACUAAACUAUUACUGACGCUGAGGGACGAAAGCGUGGGGAGCGAACAGGAUUAGAUA
rnacentral:rRNA from 1 species